rnacentral:rRNA from 1 species
UACGGAGGGUGCAAGCGUUGUCCGGAUUCAUUGGGCGUAAAGAGCUCGUAGGCGGUUCGAUAAGUCGGGUGUGAAACCUCCAGGCUCAACCUGGAGACGCCACCCGAUACUGUCGUGACUAGAGUCCAGUAGGGGAGUGUGGAAUUCCUGGUGUAGCGGUGAAAUGCGCAGAUAUCAGGAGGAACACCAGUGGCGAAGGCGGCACUCUGGGCUGGCACUGACGCUGAGGAGCGAAAGCGUGGGGAGCGAACAGG